UACGUAGGUGGCAAGCGUUAUCCGGAAUUAUUGGGCGUAAAGCGCGCGCAGGUGGUUUCUUAAGUCUGAUGUGAAAGCCCACGGCUCAACCGUGGAGGGUCAUUGGAAACUGGAGACUUGAGUGCAGAAGAGGAAAGUGGAAUUCCAUGUGUAGCGGUGAAAUGCGUAGAGAUAUGAGGAACACCAGUGGCGAAGGCGACUUUCUGGUCUGUAACUGACACUGAGGCGCGAAAGCGUGGGGAGCAAACAGG
rnacentral:rRNA from 1 species